GAUGAACGCUGGCGGCGUGCCUAAUACAUGCAAGUCGAGCGAAGCGGGGGCGGGUGAGUAACACGUGGAUAACCUCCUAUAAGACUGGGAUAACUUCGGGAAACCGGAGCUCAACCGGAUACUUAUAGAUGGAUCCGCGCUGGAUUAGCUGGUUGGUAAGGUAACGGGUUAACAAGGCAACGAUGCAUAGCCGAACUGAGAGGGGGAUCGGCCAAACGGGAUGUGAGACACGGUCCAGACUCCUGCGGGAGGGAGCAGGAGGGAAUUUUCCGAAAGGGGAGAAAGCCUGGCGGAGCAACCCCGCGUGAGAUAUGAAGGUUUUCGGUGCGUAAAUCUCUUUUUUGAGGGAAGCGGUACCUAAUCAGAAAGCCCCGGCUAAUUCCGUGCCAGCAGCCGCGGUAAUA
rnacentral:rRNA from 1 species